AAUAGCCUUGAGAUAAGAGGUAAUCGGGCAUGGAGGUAUGAAGGAGGAGAUAAUCAGCAAGAAGCUCCCUUGUAACAGAAAGACGGAGGUUCCAAUGAUCUUCUGCUGAGGUUAUAGUGAAAUGUCAGUUCCCCUGAAUGGAACUUGAACUUGAGGUGUUUCUGAACAUUUGUACAGGAGACUUGAGCAUUCCAUGUCUGAAGAAAAACUUCAUUGAUUUCUGGAGGUGGUGUCGAAUUAUGUUUUGAGGUGUACUUCUAGCUUUAACUAAGGAAUACCAUGCCAAAAAGAGUUGACACAUGGAUAUUUUCAUAGAAAGCUGAUGUUUAAUACAAAUGUUCCAUCACUGGGUUGGUUCAACUAUGGUUAAUGAAGACACACUGCUUUCUGUGUUAAUUUGCAAACACUCGUUUGACCUAAGGAAGGUGCCAAAAUAAAUCUCAGGUCUGAUCCUUGACUGCUGAGAAUUUCAUAACCACUGCUUUCUCAGUUAUUUAUUCAGGCUCAAUGCCAAGAAAUGGAAAGGCAUUGUUUGAGGUUUGGUGCUAAAUGCUACUAAUGAAAAAUUAUGGCUUUAAUUCAUUCAUAACUAAUCAUACACCUGAUAGACUCUGCAACUGUUUUUUCAGCUGGACAAUUUUCUGGGGAUGUACAAUUAUGAAAUCAGUAAGGUUGGCGGUUUCCCUCCACUGCCUCAUUUAACUCUUUGACACAAAACCAGUCACACCGAGCCCAAUGUAGUUCCCUCAUUUCUAUUGAUCCACCUCCAGUUCAGCCUCAUAUAAUUGCAUGUAGCCCUCUAUUGUUGAAAGUUAAUCCACAAUUUAGAGCAUACUUAUUCCAGACUUAUGACUUGAUGCAACAUAGAAGUUGAAGUAUUAGUGUUAAAAUUUCAUCUCACCCUCCAUUAACCCAAAGGAAAUAUAUGUAGCCUCUAGUCUCAACAGGAGAAUGAUUUUUAUUAUAUUACUACAUCUAGUGCAUUAUUGCCUGAAACAAAAACAAUGGAUUAAGCUAAAUUUUGCAUCAUCUCCCUCUUUCAUCAUCCACUAAAGACUUUUCUAAAUGCAUGGCAUCCUGGUGAUCCUGCUUAAUGCAGCUCUGGAUCCAGCAGAGCUAGGAAAAAUACCAUCAUGACCAUUUCCUGUAGAAAAUCCAAAUGUACUUUUGUUUUUGAGUAUAAUUCCCAGACACACAAGAAAUGCACCUUCAAUGUUGUGCCAUUAUGUUCAGUUCAUGUUAUGCAACUGCCAACUCACAUCACUACUGCUAAUGCCCAAACCCUUAUCCCAAUCCUCUUACACACUAACUCAUAUACACAUACACACUCUCUCUCUCAUACACACACUCACUCAAACACACACACAAACUCUCUCUCACUCCCCUACAGACACACACACACACACACACACACACACACACACACACACACACUUAUUGGGAAUACAUGCAAAUUAAGUUGGAAAGCUUGUUUUUACAUGUCAUGUUAGAGGUGUCCUUGAGAUGUCAGCUUUAUUGAAUCUGUUCCUGGUUUACUAGCUUGGGAUAUACUUAUAAGUUCCUGGUCAAUAGCCAAAUAUUUGGUGUGUCAUGCUUUGUGGUGCGUUUACACUUGCAGCCAAUGUUCACCACAGUGAAAAUGUAACCAAUGGCAGUUAAUGCCCUACACCCCCAGCUCUCCUGCUGUUGCCACUUUACAUAUGAGGAUAGACAUUAACUGCAGCACCAGUUGAUGCAUUGAUCUUACUUUUAGCAUAAGCUGACUUCCUGCACCUUCAUUUUCUGCCACUUGAAGAGUAAGUUAGAACGUUACCACGCCCCAAUGUUUUCCGAGGUAGAGGAAUUACAGGGUUAGCUAAGGGUUUCUUCUUUCCUGACUCGAGCCCUGGUCUGCCUCACAAGUCUUAAGUAACGCAUAUUGCAGUGGUUUUCAACAUUUUUCAUGCUGCGGCCCCCCAGGACAUGUCCUUGUUAGAUGGCGGACCCCCAAAGCCCACAAAAUCAAACAAUCGAUGAUUCGUGCAUACAACACUUAAAUUACUGCACAUAGGCCCUAUUGAAAUAGUGACUAUUUCAAUCACCGAUAAUUACCAGCAGUGUCUUUCAGUGUUCAGUUCAAUGUGAAGGUUGUGCCUGUUUUGUACUGCAGAGUUUGUCCAAACGUGGUGGUAUGUGCGACAAACAUACGCGUAUGUCAUCCUCAAUAUUCAGUCUUGAUCUGUAUUUGGUUUUCAUGGCAGUGACUGCAGAAAAUGCUAUUUUGCACAAUUAAGUGGUUGCAAAUGGUAACAGAACAUUGAUGGCUUUGCCGGACAGCAGUGGAAACUUCUGGGGACAUGCUAUCCAGAAUGACAACAGUGACAUUCGGUUGAACUGCAAGCGCAAAGUCCUGUCAGAUGACAGUUCAGCCAAUUCUUCUUGUUCACGUCCAGUUAAAUCAGUAAGCAUGCAUUCAAACAGAUUUCGAAUCCAAUCAAACAUGCUCGUGUCAUCGUCACUGAAAUACUCAUGGAAAUAAUAUGACAACUUUGAAUAUGGUUCAAAACGGUGCUCGCAAUGGACUCUGUCUUAGUCUCGUUUACCGUCAGAAAGUCAGCCAGCAACGGAAACAUAUCAUAGAUGCCUUGCUCGCAUCUUCCCUUCCAGAUAAGGAGUUUUUUCUGGAAGGCAUUGAUUUUGUCAUGCGUUUUCAGAACAUUUG